UACAGAGGUCUCAAGCGUUGUCCGGAUUUAUUGGGCGUAAAGAGCUCGUAGGCGGCUUGUUGCGUCGACCGUGAAAACCCGUGGCUCAACUGCGGGCUUGCGGUCGAUACGGGCGGGCUAGAGUUCGGUAGGGGAGACUGGAAUUCCUGGUGUAGCGGUGAAAUGCGCAGAUAUCAGGAGGAACACCGGUGGCGAAGGCGGGUCUCUGGGCCGAUACUGACGCUGAGGAGCGAAAGCGUGGGGAGCGAACAGG
rnacentral:rRNA from 1 species